GUACAAUAAAAGGGCCGGCUUAUCUAUGUUAGGAUACGUACAUCGUCGGACUCCUCUUUUUCUUCCUUCUUUUCUUCCUUCUUCUCCUCAGCAGGGGCUGCAGCAGCAGCUCCACCAGUAGGUGCAGCAACUGCAACAGCACCACCACCAGCAGGUACUGAAGCCAACUUUUCUCUGCCGGCAGCAAUCAGCUCAGUGAUGUCUUUUCCCUCCACUUGAGACAAAAGCAGUUUGAUUCUGUCAUCAUCAGCCUCAGCACCAA
rnacentral:lncRNA from 1 species